rnacentral:SRP_RNA from 2 species
UCGUGCUAAGCGGGGAGCUAGCGGUGCCCUGUACCCGCAAUCCGCUACAGCGGGGCCGAAUUCCCGACUGAGGCUCUCCGGUUUUGAGUAUUGCGCACGGGCAAGUGGUGUUGAAGGUCGGGUCCUGCGCAACGGGAACUUGUGAACCCCGUCAGGUCCGGAAGGAAGCAGCGGUAAGCAAACCUUCUCGUGUGCCGCAGAUCAACCUGUCCGGAGCUAACUACACGUGUAGCGCUUGGGGUCGGGAGUCGAGGAAGGGUGCACGA